GUCCGUGUGCACCACUACCUUCCGAUUCGACAGCUCCACACCCCAGAGCUCAACAGCCACCACAAUGGGAAAGAGCUCCAGAAACGUUAAGUUACUCACCAAUUCCGUCUCUAGCCAGUGUCGGGGCCAGGCCUCCGCGCACCAACGCCCUUGAAAGUAAGCACCGAAACCCACGGACCCAGACGCGUCCGUGUACAAUUCUAAAUCCGUGUUGGACACUGCCGGGCGCAGCCAGCAGGAUUGCCCGUUGUACGUACCCAGAAAUGAACUCCAAACUUGCAGAUCCUCUCGAUGCCGGUGAGUGAUUCGAAUGAAGUGAAACGGUUGCCUGACUCCGACCGUUGACAAUGACAAGCGACGGCAAAAAGCCCU